GACGAACGCUGGCGGCGUGCCUAAUACAUGCAAGUAGAACGCUGAAGGAGGAGCUUGCUCUUCUGGAUGAGUUGCGAACGGGUGAGUAACGCGUAGGUAACCUGCCUGGUAGCGGGGGAUAACUAUUGGAAACGAUAGCUAAUACCGCAUAAGAGUAGAUGUUGCAUGACAUUUACUUAAAAGGUGCAAUUGCAUCACUACCAGAUGGACCUGCGUUGUAUUAGCUAGUUGGUGGGGUAACGGCUUACCAAGGCGACGAUACAUAGCCGACCUGAGAGGGUGAUCGGCCACACUGGGACUGAGACACGGCCCAGACGCCUACGGGAGGCAGCAGUAGGGAAUCUUCGGCAAUGGACGGAAGUCUGACCGAGCAACGCCACGUGAGUGAAGAAGGUUUUCGGAUCGUAAAGCUCUGUUGUAAGAGAAGAACGAGUGUGAGAGUGGAAAGUUCACACUGUGACGGUAUCUUACCAGAAAGGGACGGCUAACUACGUG
rnacentral:rRNA from 1 species